AAAAAAAAAAAAAAAAGGCUAAAAUAAUUCAUCUUUUCUUUUUACCUAAAAUAACCUUUACAGAUAAAUGGCACAAAAGGAGGAGGCAACCUAUGGCCACAAGGAUGCUAAAUAAAAUUAGUUUCAAAAAUAUAGCAAGGCUAUUGAGGAAAACAGAGAUUAUUUUGUUAUUUUUCAGUAAAUUCACACAUUUGAUCCAAAAUUAUGAGGCAAAUAAAAAGCAGAGUUGAAAUUAUAA
rnacentral:misc_RNA from 1 species